rnacentral:rRNA from 1 species
AAUAAAAAUAUCUUUGGUUGGGGCAACCACGAAGAAAAAAAAACCUUUGUCUAAAAAAAGAAUAAACAAAUUUAAAAUUUUUUGAAAUAAAGAUCCAGAAAACUGAUCAAAGAAAAAAGUUACCGCAGGGAUAACAGCGUUAUUCUCUUUAAGAGUUCAUAUUGACAAGAGAGUUUGCGACCUCGAUGUUGGACCGGGGCACCCAAGAGGUGCAACAGCCUCUAAAGGUAGGUCUGUUCGACCUUUAAAGCCCUACGCGAUCUGAGUUCAGACCGACGCAAGUCAGGUCAGUUUCUAUCUA